CAUCCCAUCCACAUUGAAUAGCUUCUCAUCCUUACAUGACUGUUAAAGUUAACUUACAUUUUCGUAAACCUUAAUCUGUGCUCUAAAACUGACAUAUUGCAUAAAAUAGGAUUUUAUUUUGUAUGGUUUAUGAUUACCAUAGUGUUUUUUUUUUUUUAUGUCAAACAUAUAAUUUAGUUAACUGUGACAGUUUUUACUUGCAAACCAGCUUGUGCAUGCUCUUGAUUUAUUUAGUCUUCAUCCCUCUCUCCCUCCCUCUCUCUCUCCCUCUCUCUCUCUCUCUCUCUCUGUAACAAUUGCUAAACAAAUAUGGAUCAAUCACGUCUAUGUAAAUAAGUGAAUACAUAAACUUACACCAGGGUUUCCUUCUCAAAAUUUUUCACUUUGUCGUUCUUUUUAUGCAUUACAUGCUCUGGUCUGAGCCCAUGAGCUCAAGCGCCUUCUUGAAUUUUCUCUUUAUAUCUAUGUCAUCAAACUGCUUUUUUGUUAUUAUUUAUCUCACAAGACCUACUAAAGAAUCUCACACAAUGGUAAUUAUUUUAUAAUAAGUAGAUUGUAAUAUAAAGAUUAAGGCCCUAUCCCAUUUCUACCCCUUAUCCCUAAAGUAGUUAUAUCCAAUACUAUAUGUCAUUUUGAUGAUUUAUGACCUGAUUUAUGGCCUGAUUUAUGACCCCCUGUCAGCAUUGAUUGACAGGUUGUCAUAUGUCAGUUGUGUACAUGGUCAGAUUUUUGGGGAAUGAUUACACCUUGACUGCCUGUCAUACAUUUCAGUAUGCUCGUCUAUAUGACGCGUAUGUUUUCUUCCCCACCACAGACUUUGUUCUGAUUUAUGAGGCAAAACUUCCCAAAAAACGCCACAUGUUUCAUGACAAAGAUCAGUGCCUUGUUAAGUUACUCGGGCAAACAGAUGUUUUGGGUAAAGGUUUACUUGACCGCAUUUGUGCACCCAGUAAGAACGAGGAUUUAUAUUUCUACACAUUUGAUAGCCAGGGGAAUCGCCAAAUGCACACAUGCAAAGAUAUCACUGAUUCCUCUGCCAUGAAUGAGAAAAACCAAAGAAAUGAGCUUCUGAUGUCCACGGUAGGUCAGCCAGGUGAAAGUGGCAAUCCUGUUUUCAGUUUGAGAUCCAAAAAAUGUGUGGGAAUAUAUAGAGGUAUCACAAAGUCGAAGGAAGGCCGUGCAUCAAAAAUAGAUUACAAACAGGUGUUACAACACACAACAUCACUAAAAGCAAAUCCAUCUUUUUUGAAAAUGCUCCACAGCAUCUACUCCAUUCUUAAGACUCGAUUUUUGCCGUCCCGGAACACUCAAACCUCUGAUGAUGAUUCAGAUUGAAGUGGUGGUUUAUCUGGCCUCAAAUGACUUGAAGGGAGUCCACAUCAUACCUGUCACGAUCACCAGAUGGAGUGCCCUGGACUCUCACCAGAGGGCACUCCACCUCAGACUCUUGCCCCUGUACUCAGGACUCCAUUUCCCAUGUGUUCCUUGCCCCUCAUGUAAUCUUGUCUUGUCCCUUGUAUGUAUGUUAUGUUCUGAUUGGUUCCUUGGUUGCAUGUGUCAUGUUCCGAUUGGUUCCCUGGUUACAUGUGUCUUGUUCUCAUUGUUUGGUUUUGUCAUGUGUUCUCCUGGUCUAGUAUAAAAGAUGCUCACACUCACUCUAGAGUGCUGAUUAUUGAAUAGCCAUUGUUACGGACAAAGUUUGUAAUCUUUAUUUUGUGGGUAUUGAUAUUUCUUUUUUUUUUUCUUGUUGUACUGAUUUGGUUCGUUCUCUUUCCCCGAGGUUGAGCUCCACCCCUGCACACCUGUGGCUUGUUUGGUAAUGAUGUUCUGGGCCGAAUAUAAGGUGGAAGUUGCGGUUGUGUUGAGGGCUCUUCCCGUUUCAACGCGUGUUCCGCACAGUCACUACUAUGCUCUUUGAGCAUGACCCGCACUCGUUGAGAAGCUCCUUUCGUCCAGUCACCGUUAAUGAUGAGUGCAGCCAGCGAGCUUCGUGCGCGUCUUGUGGUCAAGUCUGCCGCUGAGAAGCGGUGUUUACUCUGUGUUUGAUCUGUGUGUGUGUUGAUCUAUGUUUUGUUUGUUUGAUUUAAUUCUUCAUUAUAUUUGUUGCCGGCUGAUCGAAUGUGACUCGUGAGCUGUUUGGCCAUUAAUAAAUGGUUAAAUUGAUGUUUUGCCUUGCGUGUCCUUUUUUAUGUUACUUAACCCCUUCCUCAACGAGCAUUUAAUAAAUGGGGUUUGUAACAUAAAUGGGGGCUCGUCGGGGAUCACAAUUGUUGUGGUUUCUGUGAGUUUGUUCAUAAUUGUUCAUUUAUUGCAGUGUGAGUGGAUUCGGUUGGUCCGAUGCAUUCUCCGGUUAGUUAGAGUAAGCCAGCGGGGCUGUGCCUAGCGCCAGUUCUGACUACGGUUUACUGUUUAUUAUUUUUGUUUGUUGUUUUAGUUUGUUAUUUUUGGAGGUAUUCCGGGGGAGAGAGUAAUCUCUUAAUCGGUACCCUCUGAAGACUAGCUGAGAUGAAGUUAGACUUUUGGGUAGGUAGGUAGUACCGGAGUCUGUGUGUGGAUUUUUCCUUAUUUGCUCACGGUUUUGUUUUUAAGAUGGCAACUUUUGAUUUAAAUCAAUUCAUAGAUCAACCUAGUGUUGAGGGAUUAGAGGUCUGUCGGAAAAAAUAUUUUUUUCUGAUUGCUCAACACUAUGAAAUUUCGAUUUCUAAAACGCAGCGUAAAGCGGAAAUAAAAGCUUGUUUAAUGUCUGCUUUGACUGACCAAGGGGUAUUUCCUGCGAUAGAGGCUGUUCCUAUAGAAGCAGUUGAACCAGCGAUUGAUGCUGCAGGAAGAUCUCCUUCUCCUCCUCGAACGUUUGGAUUGGCGUGUAAAGAUUCGUUUGGCUCGUUUGCAACUGGCUAGUCAAGAUAAAUCUCAGGCAAGGCAGGAUGAGUUAAAACAUCAGAUUGAAAUGUACCGAAUUGAUGCGGAUACAAAAGUGUGACUGCGGCAGUUGGAGUUGCAGGUUGCUCAAGAUCCACCAAAACCAACCAUUUUUAAAACAUCUACUUUUUUGGAGGGUGGUUCUGAGACUGCUGCUGGUCCAUCAAAUUCGAGUACUGUUCCUAAUGAUUCUGCUUCGGCUGAUAAUGGGUUGGUAUUUGUGCCGCCCACACAUUUUGAUGUGGCUAAAAAUAUCGCUAUAGUUCCAUCUUUCCGUGAGAAAGAAGUUGAAGCGUAUUUUCAAGCUUUUGAACGUAUCGCGAGCUCAUUAAAGUGGCCAACUGAAGUUUGGGCCUUGAUGUUACAGUGCAAACUAACAGGUAAGGCGCAGGAAGUAUGUGCAUCUCUCUCGUUGGAAGAGAGUGUUCAAUAUGAUGCUGUGAAAAUUGCGAUUCUACGGGCAUAUGAGUUGGUUCCCGAGCAUUACCGACAGCGUUUUCAUACCACGAAGAAAUCGGUGUCUCAAACUUAUGUUGAAUUCGCUCGAGAGAAGGGUACCUUGUUUGAUCGUUGGAUAAAAGCGUGUAAGGUGACAGACUAUAAUUCUUUGAAGGAGCUUAUGUUGAUUGAGGAAUUUAAGAACUGUGUUCCCGAACGCACUGCACUGUACCUAAAUGAACAAAAAGUUAGCUCCGUGCAACAAGUGGCUGUAUUAGCAGAUGAGUAUACAUUAAUGCACGAGACGGUGUUUGUUAAGCGUGUGAGUGAUACUGGUGGACUGUUAGGAAAGGAAAGUGAGUUCCCUUGAUUGUAAAAAUAAAUGGGUUCCUUCUGGUUUUAAAUCUCGAAAAAAGUGUAGUUAUUGUCAUAAAAUGGGACAUGUUAUGGCUGAAUGUCGUAGUUUAAAGCGAAAACAAGAGUGACAAGAAUUUCUGCCCGUUCAGCCUCGGGGUUCUGUCCUUGUAAAAACUUUUCCUUCGCCUUGUUUCCCUGUUGCUCCUGAUCCCUGUUUCCAGCCUUUUGUGUUUGAUGGAUUUGUGUCGUUGAACGAUGGGGUCAGAACAUGGCUUGCAGGAAAAUAGUCUUAAUGACUCUAUUUUCUCAGACAUUUUAGGAAGUGAUUCAGGUUCUGUGUCAGUGGAUGUGGUUAAAACGACUUCUUGUCCUUCUGUUUUUGACCUUGUUACUGAUCAGUUAAUAUCGCGUGAAGCCUUGAUUGAUACCUUAGAGAAAUGUCGUGUGGGUGCUGAGAAGAGUUCAUGCUUCCCACGUAAUCAACAACUUUAUUGGAAAGAUGCAGUGUUAAUGCGUAAAUGGAGUAGUACACUGAGCGUUGCGCAGGCGGAUGAGUGGGAUGUGGUGCAUCAAAUUGUAGUUCCUUUGAAGUUCCGGCAGCCUGUGUUGAGCUUGGCUCAUGAUCAUCCUUGGUCAGGACACCUUGGAAUUAAUAAGACCUGUAACAGGGUACUCCAACAUUUCUUUUGGCCGGGGUUAAAAUCUGAUAUAGCCAAGUAUUGUAAGACCUGCCACAUUUGCCAGGUUGGGGGGAAGCCUAACCAGGUGGUGCCACCUGCUCCUCUCUGCCCUAUACCUGUUGUGGGCGAGCCGUUUGACCGUGUUCUGGUAGAUUGUAUGGGUCCACUCCCUCGUGCAAAGCUGGGUUGUCAAUAUCUGUUGACGAUCAUGUGCGUAGCCACUCGGUUUCCAGAGGCGAUUCCUUUAAAAAAUAUCACUGUUAAGUCUGUAACAAAAGCUCUCAUUAAGUUUUUUUUACAACUUUUGGGUUACCAAAAACCGUUCAAACAGAUCUGGGCUCGAAUUUCCUGUCUCGUGUAUUUCGUAGUUCUUUAAAAGCCUUAGGAGUGUCUCAUAUUGUGGCAAGCGCAUACCACCCUGAAUCCCAAGGGGCUUUAGAACGCUGGCAUCAAACAUUAAAAUCUGCACUCUGGAAAUAUUGCAUCGAGACUGGGAACGAAUGGGAUGAGGGAGUUCCUUUUGUUUUAUUUGCGGUGUGUGAAGCGCGACAGGACUCGUUGGGAUUUAGCCCUUCAGAACUAGUGUUUGGCCAUAAUGUUCGGGGCCCUUUGAAAAUGUUGAAAGAGGAAUUUCUCUGUUCCGAUUCUUCCGAGAAAACGAAUGUUCUUGAUCUUGUUUCUUGUACUCGUGAACGUUUACGUAAAGCGUGUACUAUGGCUAGAGAAGCGCGCCUCUGAGGUCUUUGCCUUUCUUUACCCCUGAUUCGUUUCUCCAGUAUACGCGGAUGGCGUUCGGUUUGCGGAACGCACCGGCGACAUUUCAGCGCUUGAUGUCCCUGGUUUUGAGCGGUGUUCCUUGGAACAUAUGCUUGUUCCUAGUUUCCGAGUUUACCUUUCCGUGUUUCCUAGUUUACCUGUGUUUUGAUCUUUGGACUGUUUCCUUGACUUUUGAUUGUAUUGCCGCCUGCCCUGACCACAACCUGUUUAUUGGAUUACUCUUUUGCCUCUGCCUUGGAUUAUACUGUUUGCUGGUGCUCGACCCUGCCUGUUUUGACCACAUGUGUUCAGGGCUGCGUUAUCCUAAUGGGCAACAUAGGCUACUGCCCAGGGCCCCAAACACUAGGGGGCCCCCCCGAGUCAAUUCUCUUUGGCAUUUUAUACAGGGUUGCCAACCGUUCCGUAUAAUAAUAAUAAUAAUAAUAAUACGGAAUCGUCCCGUGUUUAAGGCAUCAGUUUGUCCCGUAUUUGCAGGCAUACAACGUAUGGCCACGUAGACCAUACAAAUAACAAAUAAAUAAUUUUUCCAAAUCAUUGUUUGAAUUGCGAACGUAGCCGCUCAAGGAAGGCUUUAAGACCAAGCGGAAUCCUCUGCCGCCUAGUCGCUCCCGCUUCACAGCGAGUGGGACUCGUGUUUUGAUUUCUACAAAUCAUUUUUGUUGAAUGCAAAGAUGUGAUUAUUGAUCGUAAGCACAACAUCCAGCUAGAAAACAUAUAUCUAGGCUACCUUUUUACUAUUUGCAAUAAUUGGACCGAGGCUAUGGAAUAACAUUCCUUUAUCUGUGAAAGCUUCAAAAAUUGCGUCUCUGAGUUUAAAACUAAAUUGAAAUCCUAUUUUCUUACCUUGGCUUUGUAAACUUUGUUAAAUCUUUACUGGUUUUUAUUUUAUUUGUACAGCACUAUGGUCACCUACUGUUGUGUUUAUCGGUGCUUAAUAAAUACAAAAACCUGAGGAAAGAUGUCUUUCACUAUUGUAAGUUAAUGUGGUUAAAUAGAGAAACAGGGCCCCACAAAGGCUUAACGCUGCACUGUGUGUUAAUAAAGCCUUGCAUUUGGAUCCUCCAACUCCAUUGUCACGCUCCCCAUGUUACAAUACCCUCUCUUUAGACUUGAUUAAAAAUAUGCAAAAUAUGCACUGAACGUGCGGUCCGAAUUGUUCUGAUGUCAUGCUGACAUAUGCCAAAUGUAGGUGCAGAGGGAAAUGUCUUGCUAAUGACACAGCUUAAUACUUGUUGGUUUAAACAACCAUCUUUUAAAUUGUUCAGUAUUGUAAAAUUAUGUGUAAAUAUUCCCAAACAAAUAUAUGAUUGUUGUCAUACAAAAUAAAAAUGGAUGGAAAACACAAGUGGCAAGUUUUUUUUGUUUGUUUUAUUUAGAUGUUAUGGACAAACAUGUAAAAGUUACUUUUGGUACAUAGGUUGUAAAGAUCGGCCUUAUCGGCUGAAUUACAUGAAUUUAAAAUGGGGUCAGAUUAAACUGUGGGAGGUAAAAUAAGUGUUUUAAAAGAUGAGACAACAACAAAAAUAGAAGGAAUAAAUAGUGUAUUUACAAACUUCACAAAGAACUUAAAACACCACAAUAAAACUAGAAAUCCUAGGCUGUUAAAAGCACAGAUUCUUUCCGUUCCAUACCAUUAAAACAGUCCUUAAGAAUUCCAGAGUGCUGUAAGUCCCAAUGUGAAUGUGAGAAGUGUCCACCAGUGUGUAUACAAUCCAAAGAGGGUGAGAAUCCAAUAAAGUCCUCAAAGGUAACUCCUCAAUCCAGCCUUUGGUCAAUGACCCCGAUUAUUUUGCAUGCUGCCUCCUUUAUGCUGUCCCACUUCCUCUUUCCUGUCAUGUGAUGAGUCACAUGACAGGAAGACCCAGACUCAUUUAAAGACAUACACACAUUAAAAUGGUUAAGAGGAAUAAAAUGGCUAAGACAACAUGAAAACCUAUUAAAACUCAAAUAUACAUAAAAUCAUUAUAAUAUACUGAGCAGGUUAAAACAUGUGUCCUGUGUGACAGUGUCAAAAGGUACCAAAUACUAUAUAGCCUUUUACAGAAUAAAAUAAGCAACCAGUGUGAUGUUGGAAAUACUUAUACAGUGUGGUGUUCACAUUAACACAUUACUGCAAAACUGACACUGUAGAAAAGUGGAAAUAUCAUCUUUUCUUUUUUUUACCAUAAUAGAUGUCUUUAAUUUUCAGUGUAAACAUACAUUUCCAGAUACAAGUUUUUUAAAUUACAUAUCCUUUGUGUUCUACAAUAUAUCUAUCUAUCUAUCUAUCUCUCUUUCUAUAUAUUAUAUAUAUAUUAUAUAUAUAUAUAUGUAUAUGUGUGUGUGUAUAUCAGUAUAUAUAUCAUGUUCACUUACAACAAAUUAUUACAUGCAUAAUUUAUUGAGUGUAAUUUAAGCACCGAAGAUGCACAAUGAUGUAAAUCAUCUCUAAAAGAAGCAUUUAUUUAUAUUUUAUCAAUCAAUACUUUAACAUUAGUUUAUGGAGUAACUUUAGUUAAUAUGCUAAACAUUUCUAAUUCAUAGCCUCUUUUGUUAUUUCACAUAACACAACCAAUAGUUCACUUACAACAAAAACAGGAACAGACUGAAAACUGUGGAUCCAUCAAACACCUGAAGUUUUCCAGCUCACCAUGAAAAAUGUCUGGUAAACAUACAUAAAUAGAGAUUCCUUAGUGUUCAAAAGCUUUAAUCUUGUUUUCCUUCAUAAAAAUCCAGAUGAGUCUGUGAAGCUACUCUGCAAAUUAAGAACAACAUAAGCCACUCCUUGUCUGUCUGACAGCCUUGUUUCUCCGUGUCACAGUGUAGCAGGGUUAGGGUUAUUUUAAAAGUGCUUUUUGAAACAGAGUUACUAUGCAGAAAAUAUUUUUGUUCAUGGUCUUGUAAUGACUUUUCAGAUCAGACACACAAUGAACAAAUAAUCUUUAAAACCCACUCUCUGAGUUCCAUGAACCAUCCCCUGAAAGUGCAACUAUCACUCCAAGAGGGCUCAGUUACCAUCAAACACUUUCCUUUCAAACUUUCUUUGCUAAACACGUAUGUAGGUUGUUCUCUUUGAGAAUAGUCCAAAUGAAGUAUCUCUUCAAGGCUACUACAGUUGAUAUUCUAGCAAGCUAGAGUAGCAUAAACCGCACUCUUUGUGUGUUUAUUUGACCGCCUUGUUUUUCUGCAUCAACUUAGGAAUGCAGUAUUACUACACUGUCUAAAUUCCUCUAGCUCUAGGCAAAGAAACACUCACUGCUCCUUCGUACUUGCCCUGCCUCUCUCUACACACAGACUGAGACAACUGAGUCAUUGGUGGGGAAGGGGUGCCAGCGCUCAGGCGAAAGUUCAGCUAGCGUUGCAUAAUAUUCCUUUUUACGUGCUUUACAAUGUUGCAUAUUAACCAAUCACAAACGAUCCUGUUGAGCUUAUGAAUGCUAUGGCCAAUCAGUGGCGUUCAGAUUAGCCUUAAAAUUCUCUGAUUUCCAGGUUUUCCCAUUACUGUGUAUCAGUGGUUUGAGCGCGCUUUGACUAGAGUCUAGAGAGCAAUUAGAGAGCUGCCAAGUGCUCAUGUGAUUGUCAGAGCAGCGAUCAGACAUUGGAUGUGCAGGAGCCUUGGGAAUUUACUCAUAAAAAGGACGUGAGUGCUUUUUACAUGUCAGAAUCUAGUAAUUAGGGUGAAUUCAGGAAAAGUGGGCCAUCUAAGCUUGAUUGUUCUGUGCUCAAAGGGUUUACACUUUCAGAGCAUAACAAUGGUUCUAAAUUAAAGGGACACUAUUACUAUUAAAGACACUAUUACUAUUAAAAUAGUUUUGGUUGAUGCAAAAUGACACUGGUGGGUGUGGCCACACCUCAAAAGAGGACUAUGUCAUGGUGAAAGGUAGACAACCCUUUGACAUAAGAUUUUUAUUUGUAACUUAUAAGGUAUGGAGGACGAGAAAUGACUUAAGUAUAAAUAAAUAAAUACAUAAAUGCAGAGAUACAUAUAAAUAAAUGAAUAAAUAAAUAAUUAAAUGCUGAAAUAAAUAAAUAAAUGCAGAUAUGCAUAAAUGAAUGAAUAAAUGAUUUUUCAAAAGUGUCAUUUUUAAUUGCUAUUUUUGUACCAUUUGUGUGUUAGGCUACUACAUUUAUUUCUACAUUUAUUUAUGUAUUCUACGUUUAUUUAAUUUUACAUUUAUUUAUGCAUUUCUACAUUUAUUUAUUUCUGUAUUUCUGUGUCCGUAUGUUAAUAAGGUAGGCGGUCCUAACCUCUCUCAAUGCAGGAUUGGUUAAACAGGAUCGUUAUCGUUACGGAUAUAGCUGUACUACUGUGGAUACUACCAUUGCUAAUGAUUUGCGUUUAAUGGCAAGUGAUGUACACCUAAACCCCUUAUAGGAAACUUUCUGCUAUUUCAGAUUUUGAUGCCAUGAUUUUCGUACUGAAGUUUCGUACAGAUAUAUCGCCUUCGAUAAUGAACGCGAUAUUGCAUAGCUUGUCAGUGAUCUACAGCUCUGUGUAUUAAAUGCGGCUCCAUUUGAAAACAGGUGAUGGAGAUUUACGCUAAUCACUGAACCAACUUUACUGUCGAGAUGCGCAUGAAUAAUAUCUUAUCUGUACUCUGUGUGUAUUAUUUGACGGAUUUCAUGUAGGCUAUUAUUAGCGCGGCCUAUAGUUUAUUUCACUAGCUAGCUAAUGGUACUAAUUAGGGCUGGGUUGAAAUCUGUUUUUCGAUUUGAAUCGUUUCUCAUUGUGACAGUGAUCUCAUUGUAAAUCCUAAGAAUCAAUAGAUGCUGUUUUCACUUGAUGCGUGAACAAAACUUAAUGAAACACAAUAAAUCACAGUAAGUUUUGUUACUUGUGAUAUGAAACAGAGUGUCAGAUUUCAGAUUCUGUCAAUUGUAUCACUAAAGUUAAACAGUAAAUACAGUUUUGGUGUUAAAUGUAACAUGAAAGAUAAUUUUAGCGCCUCAGUACAAGCCAGCAGUGCAGAACUCACAUGAACCGAUCAUCUUCCUCUUUACCACAGCAAAUAAACAUGAGCGAUCAUCAGAAGGUGUUGAAAGAAGCAGAACAUCCUACCGUAAUGAAUCACAUCUCAUGUAAUCGCUCAGUCAGAGUUUCAAGAUGUCAAAGAAAUGGCUUGUAAACAAUGUCACAGAAAAGCCAUUGAGUGAGUAUAAACUCUAAACUUGUUACUUAACUAGAAAAAAAUAAAUAAAUAUAAAGGGUAAUUUUGCUAAAUAUAUGCACUAGAUGACAUUCGUUAUAUUUUUUUUACUUAACCUGUUCUUCAAUAUGUAAUGUAAUUUUGAGUAAAUUAGUCUUAAAAAACAAGUAAUCACAUCCACUGUUUAAAUGUUCGUAUUUCAGCAAACUGGAGAAGAAAAAUAAUAUCAUUAGAAAUAUUAUUUAAAAAAUAAUCAUAUAAAAAGAGCCUUGCAUGCAAUUUAAAUAUUUCUUUACAAAUCACUGUAAUAUACUAAUGUACCAAUUGACAGGGUUUAUUGUAUAGUUGCAGCAUUAGUUGAGCAAGAUUUUUAACUCCGCUUUAGCUUUAUGUCUGGGUAAAUCAGUGACUAAUGUUGUGUUUUUGGGAUCUUCUUGUUCUGCAUGUUUGAGAAUGAAGACUAAAAUCAACUGCAAUUACAUCCCGAGGAGCCCAAGUAUCUACCUCAGUGAAGACACAGAGACACUCAUUAGAGAAUAUGUGAUAUCAAGCCACUUGACCGUCCUGGAACAACACGAGUGCUCUUGUUUUUAAGCUUGGCUGUGUUCAGUGCCAUCAGAAUUCUCUUCUCCUUAAGGACUGUGAAAGUGCAGAGGCUGAGUCUGGAAUUGCACAGUCAACAGUGGGCAUGUACAUCUUUCGUUCUGAGGGUGCUGGUGUUGGUCCUGGAGACCAACCUACAGAUGUUGGAGUGGAAGUUCUGCAGUGUCACUCUCGGGUGUUUGAUGCUUUUUGGACUGAUUUAUGUGAUUAACUGAAGCUACGCAAUGGAGCUCAAGUGCAUGUUUGAAGAAAAUCCUGGAUACAACCAAGCUGUCACCAAAGAACUCUUACGUAAUGAUAAUUGUGAUGUCAUUUUUGAGACAUCAAAUUUUUGUACUUGAGUCCAUUUAAGUGUUAAAAAUGUAGAUGUAGAAUGUUCCUUUCGUACCCAUGUACUCCUAACAUGUAAUUAAAUAUGCAUGGAAAGUGUGGUGGUGCAGAGCCACUCAACCCCUGAGCCUUAUGGCAUUUUUUUCUGACCAUUAUCCUAUUUUUCUAAAUUAUUGCAUGUCACAGAAUAUAUAUAUAUAUAUAUAUAUAUAUAUAUAUUUUUUUUUUAAGUGUUAGUGCAAUGUAAGCAGUACUGUUAUCAUCGAUUUACCUCAUGUAUCUGCCUACCUCAAAUUUGCACAGUUCUUCAGGAAACUGAUCUUAUUUCUGCACUCUGUUAAAAAAGGUUAAAAUUAUUUUUUUCUGUUAAAGUUGUUUUUUUGUUUGUUUGUUUCUUUUUUUGCAUUCAUUUCUGCAGUAUGGUUGAUUGUGGCAAAAAAAGUUUGAAAAUAGUGUUUAACCUUAAUGUGCAUGUGAAUAUGAAGGCACUUUUUGUUUUUUGUUGUUGCACACAAAUGUAUGAACACUGUGUAGUAUGUCUUGCUAUAGCUCAUAGCCAAAUGCUUUGAAGCAUUAAUAAAUUGAUAUAAUGUAACAGUGUGGUCUUGCUGUUCUUUUUUUGUGUGUUGUAGUUAGAUUUUGUUGUAGCACAGUGUGAUUGGGUGGGGUAGGAUUAAACAUAUGAAAUACACUGGGUUUAUGAUAAAAAAAAUUAUGUAAAUCUGAUGCAUUUUAAGUAAAUUGGGUAUAUUACGUAAUAAUACAUAUAUACAUGUUUCUUAUGCAUUUAAAACAAAUUGGAUUUAUUGUUACUAUUACUAUUGUCUUAUUACUUGUUUCAUUUACAUAAGGUUGGCAAAUUUGCAUCACAUAAAGUUUAUUAGUUUGUUUAAGUUAAAAUAUAUGUAAUCAAAAUGGAUGGAAAUUUUAUAUGCAGUUGAAAUACAUAAAUCUUAAGAAUUGGGCCUAAAUAUUUUUUGAGUGUACUACCGUAUACCUACAGGGAAUAAAAUGCAAGGAAAACACUUUUUUCUUUCUUUCUUUAAAUAAGUUAGUUUUCUUGUAAGGUGUUUAAAUAUUGCUGGCCCACUUUGGCACAAUGUGUUAGAUAAAGUGGGCCACUGGGAUUCAGUUAAAGUGGGCCGACUUUUAACCUUCAGUAAUUAUAGCUAAAUUCAUUAAAUAAAUUGACAUUCACUGGUUAUUUUAUAUUUGACAUGUAUAAUUUACUUUUUUGGAAAAAAGAACUGACACUGCAGUCAGGAAUUCAAGUUAGAGAUGGAAGAAAGAGAGAAUAGAAAGGAAGUCGAGGCAUGAAGUUCAA